rnacentral:rRNA from 1 species
AGCACUGAGGUUCCACCUCUUCCCAUUCCGAACAGAGAAGUUAAGCUCAGUCACGCCGAUGGUACUGCGUAACAGUGGGAGAGUAGGUAGUCGCCGUUU